rnacentral:rRNA from 1 species
UUCGGAAUUACUGGGCGUAAAGGGCUCGUAGGCGGCCAACUAAGUCAGACGUGAAAUCCCUCGGCUUAACCGGGGAACUGCGUCUGAUACUGGAUGGCUUGAGUGUGGGAGAGGGAUGCGGAAUUCCAGGUGUAGCGGUGAAAUGCGUAGAUAUCUGGAGGAACACCGGUGGCGAAGGCGGCAUCCUGGACCACGACUGACGCUGAGUGAGCGAAAGCCAGGGGAGCAAACGGG